rnacentral:lncRNA from 1 species
UGGACCCAGUAAAACAGAUUGCCCUCUCCAAUACAGGGGGCUGGUCUCUGCAAACUAUAUUUUUAAGAAUUCCUUACCAACUGGCUUUCAGCUGGACUCAGCCAACAAGAGGAAGACGCUGGAAAUUGGAGGCAGGAAGAAGUGGCUCCCUCCUCCCAGGACUCCAGCUUUCAUCUGAUGCCUUCUACCUCUGUGAUCCAACCUCCUUCCAAGCAGCCUCCAUCCUGGGUUCCAGUUCCAGCUGGAAGGUCCCUGAUCCUGGGCUCUGGGAGCACCAUCUCCUCCUCCCUUCCUCAGCCCAGCCAUAGAGCUGCUUCCUGCUGUUGCUAAUCUUUGGGGAAUCUCUGGGGUGCCUCAGUUGACCCCACUUGGUUUUUCAGUACUUCCAACAUGUUUAUCACCAGUUCAAGGGAUUGAAUUCCACCUACUGAUGGUCCUUCCCAGACCCUGACUGAUACAAGUUUAAUAUGGAGAUGAACAGAACAGGUAAGAAAAACCAGGACUUAUCCUAAAGAAAGUAGCAAAGAAAGAACUUGGGCUCUCCAGAAGCCAAAAUAGGAGCCAAAGCAUCAUAGCUGAAAUCCAAAAGAUGAUGUCCAAACCAGAGAUGCGUGAUAUGACACCCAUACAAGAAAUGCAUAUGGAAUCCUAUGUCAUUCCUUUAUAAAGGGAAGUUGGUACUCAAAUCUCAAGGUCUGAGCAAGAGAUUACAGAAAGUUGGGUGUUAACCACAUUUUGGCUAAUAAUUUAAUUACACUGUAAAUGUCAUAGGAGAGCUCACAAUUUAAAUUCCCCUGUGGGGAAUCUUUUUGUUCUGCAAAUAAUUACCCCCCUAAUUUAUUUGCUUAUGUUUGGGUUUUCAUAUAUUUGGUUUGUUUAUUUAUUUAUUUAUUUUUACCCAGGGACAAUAGGGCCCAACUCAGCUGGGGAUGAACAGUUGCUUUGAAUUAAGCACUGUUUGGAAUAAACCACAAUCAGUUUAGUAAAAUUUUGAUUAUAUUAGCCUUGCAAAUAGACUUGCCCAGGGUGAGUAGCAAUGCAUUCUGGAUAAGUACGGGGAAAAAUUCAUGAUUCCAGAGCAUAUAAGGGCGAGAAAGACCCUAGAGCAGUCAGGAAUCAUAUCAAAUAUUUGAUACUCAGGCACUGUUUAGAACAUCUUGUCCAAAUGCAUGCCAAAUGUAGCUUUGAAAGCCAUCGUUUGUGUAAUGGUAAUUUCCACUCACUGGUCAUGGUUUUACCUGCUGGGACCAUGGGAAACAAAUUUGCCCCCUAGAUGUACUCUGUCUAUUUUUAGGUAUCUUUGCUCUUAAAACAAAAGUUCCUAAUUUCUUCAGCCAUUCCUCCUGUGACACUUCUUCUGAAGCAGAGGAAUGGUAAAUGAGCUACAGUAUAUACACUAGGUAGAAUAAUAUGUAACCACUAAAAUAAUCGUUAUGAAGUAGGAAGAGAAACUCGUAAUGCUCAAAGACAAGAGCAGAUUACAAAAUUGGAAGGAGGCCAUUUCCAUAUUGCUGAACACUUAGAUCCAAAUGUGCUUGUGCAUUUUCUAAUUGUAAAAAUAAUUUGGCAGCAGUACAGAACAUUUAUGAUAUGGAAAGAAGAUCUCUAAGUUCGCAAAUGACAGUGGCUGUCCAUUGCUGCUCUACAGAAAAGCUGUAUUAGAAUCACCAGAAGCUUGCUAAAAUUAGAGAUCACAGGACCCCAGCUGACUUACAGAAUCUCUGAGAGCCUGGAAUCCCUUGUUUCUCACUGUUCCCUGGGGGAUUCUGACGCAGCAGGACUGAGAGAACUGCCUAUCACAAUAACGAUGAUCAUUUCUGUAUUCCCUUCCACUCUCUUUUCACAUGCAUAUGUUUAUUCAAUUAUAAGGAUAGCAUUUACUCAAUUUUGGACACAAAUGUUUUUAUACAACACUAAAAAAAACAGGUGUUCUUUUUUUAAUUUUUAAUUUUAAUUUUAAUUUUUUAGUGAGGAGGUCUUGCUAUGCUGCCCAGGCUGGAGUGCAUUGGCUAUUCACAAGUGCAAUCAUAGCACACUACAGUCUUGAACUCCUGGGCUCAAGUAAUCACAGGUGCAAUUCACAGGCUAUUCACAGGUGCAAUUACAGCACACUACAGUCUUGAGCCCCUGGGUUCAAGUAAUCCCCCUGCUUCAGCCUCCCAAGUAGCUGGGACUUCAGGUGUGGAUAACUGUGCCCUGCAAAAAAUAAGUGUUCUUUGAACUGAAAUGUCUGCUGAACAUAAAAAUGUAGGAAAGUCAAGAGGAGAAAAUAUCUCCCAGAAUCACAGCACCCUAACACAACCACUAUUAACAUUUUGAGAUACAAUUCUUGCCUGUUUUAUAGGAGUCAUUUUUAUUUUGUUUAUUUUUACUGGAAUAAGUAUGUUGCACAUGCAGUACUAAAAUCUGUAUCUUUCACAUUGUGGUAAUAUUGUUUUUUCUACACUAUUACAUACUCUUCAUAAAAUUUGGCCAUUGACCUAUUAUUGUUAGUCAUUAUUCCAGUUACAAAUAAUUUUGUGACAAACAUCUCUGUGUGUAAAGCAUUUCAUAUUUGAGUAUCUCCUUACAAUGCAUGCAAAGAAAUAAAG